CCAACUUUAUGGGCCGUGUUUUAACUGUGCUUUCUGCUAAUUAUCAUGCACACCGUUGCUUCUCAGUUUUCAUCCGAUUCAGUUAUCUUCCAUAGAGAUCAAAACAAACUCAAGGCGAGCACCAUAACAACAUCGUAUUACAGUCUUAGCUAGGCUUACGGUUACAGGGGAAAAGCACACAUUGUGUGGCUCUUUAAAACAAAAAAGGAAGUUGUCUAACACUAGUUUAUCCUAAUGAGUCCAAGAGACAGCAACCGGAUAAAGAAAGCUGAAAAAAGGACGACAGAAGUGCUGAACACCAAAUGCAACAAACAUACAUUAUCUCCUACUAUUAGGCACCGAUAUAUUAGCAGCAUCACGUCUAAAAAUCUAAGUACAUGUCACAGACAAUAUAUCAAGCUCAAGAGGGAUAGACGGGAUGAAUAGAGAAGAGAGGGUUGGUGCGUCGAAGAAGAGCGUGCGGCGAGAAAAAGUCUUGCAAGGUCAAGAACAGCCGGAGAGGAGACGCUUGUAGCUUCAGAAAGAUUGAUAGAGGUGGACGGCCAGAAAGAUGGCGAUGAAAGGAUGAUGACGGUGUAGACGAGCUCAGGGAGGAUAGAGCCGGGCCGUGGAUCAGCGGGACGAAGCGCCCUGGGAGGCUCCGUCCUCAAGACGACGCAGUGGAGGACGACGCCUGGCCAUGGAGGAAAUCCUCGGCAGACGGCCACCCGAGAAGCCCUGGUUGGCGACUGCGUGCCGAGAGCAGGUGUUGGUGUGGCCUGGGCUCGGCAUCUCGAGGCUAGAGGAGCGGAGAGGUGGGGAGGUAUGCAUGGACAUUAUGGUAGGUGGGUGGUCGGAGGAGGAAUGGCUCGUCAGGGGAACCCCUUAUAUAGCACAAGGGCAUAGCACUGUGAAGAGCUAGAACCAAGGGCAGAGAGAGAAAGGCUCUGAGGAUGAAACAUGGCCUUUACGUUAUGGACGGUGCAGCGGAGGGGUUGGGUUGGGUUGGGUUUGGUUAAUUUGAUGCCCCAUGCGGCAUCAGCACACAGCAGCGAUGGAGAGGUAGAGGGGGAUACAGCACAUACACGGGUCGCUGAGAUGGCUCUCUCUCGUCUCGUGUACUGCAUGCAUGUGCGUGGCAG
rnacentral:lncRNA from 1 species